CUUUCUCUAAUCUAUAAUUAGAAAAUAUGCUUAGCCUUUAAGUUAUAAUAAGAAAAUUAGUUUUUGUAUUAUUUUGCCAAUGUAUUGGUAUUUUGGGAUUUCCAAAUUAAAUUGAUCAAGAGUGGUUCUGUAACAUCUUUUGCUGCCAAGAGCUUUUAUCCCUUCAUACAGGUACUAUGGCAUCGUUCCUAAACGAUUUCUACGAGCCAAAUGAUUUGUUCCAAGAGUUGGACAUAUCCCCUCACAUGGGAUCGUCCUCGAUGGAUCUGAACCCACUCGUAGAACACGUGAAUUGUAAGACUCGUAGUUAAGAUAAGAAGUCAAAUUUGACUAAGUGUCCUGAAAAAGGCGUUUGGGUGAUCUAUGUGAGAAGAGGUUGGUUAGACUGCGAGAAAGGUUAUGCGACUAGAUUUUUGAAGUUGUGUUUUAUGCGAAUAAGUUGUUUUGUGAGAUGAAAAACUAGGAAAGAAGAUGUCAAAUCUGAUUUCUAUUCAGAUGAUUCCUAAAGAGAGAUUAUGUGGGAAGAAGAAGGAGAGAAACCUUAGAAGUUUAAGCAGCUAAGUAGAGUGAGUGUUUUCUUUAAAAUGUUUAUGUUAAAAGUUUUCCUUAUAAAUUCUUAUUUGAUUUGAGUUAAUGAUUUCGAUUUA